ensembl:lncRNA
CACUGUCACUGUUAGGAAUAAAAACUGUGCCUCACCUCAGAGACAGACAGGUAUCUGAGAUCUAAGCAACUGAACUGGGAUUCAAAUUGAAGUAGAAGCUGCAGCUGCAGAGAUGUACACUAUCAUGUCCAUCAAAGAUGCCAAGAUCUACGUUCUCUUACUGGUGUUCAUCAGCGUCUUUGUGGAGAAAGGCCAGUCAGACUUAUCAACAGAAAGUGUGAAAAAGAUUAUUGAAGACAUAAUAUACAAAAGGUUCAAGCCUGAAGAGUUGAAAAGAAUGAUAGCAAAGAAAGCAGAAGGCACAAGCGGAAGACAGCCCAAGUAAGAUCAUUUUGGUUUGUUUCUACUUUUAGCAACCAUGAGCUUCUAUCUCAUAAUCUGACAAUGUUUUUUACAAUGACUUUUCUUGUGGCUGAGCAAUCUGUAUCCUCAUAUUGUGCAAUCCCCUCCAACCCCUCUUUUACGCUACUGCUACUCUCUGUUCAUCAUAUAUGCAUAGUCACUUUAACAAUAUCUACAUGUACAUACUACCUCAAUCAACCUGACUAACCGGUGCCUGUAUAUAGCCUCGCUACUAUUAUAGCCUCGCUACUGCUAUAGCCUCGCUACUGUUAUUUUUUGCUGUCUUUUUACUGUUGUUUUUAUUUAUUAACUUACCUAUUGUUCACAUAAUACCUUUUAUGCACUGUUGGUUAGAGCCUGUAAGUAAGCAUUGCACUGUAAGGUCUACACCUGUUGUAUUCGGCGCACGUGACAAAUAAACUUUGAUUUGAUUUGAUUUGACUCCAUGGUUUAACCAACCCAGUAUUAGGAAUACGACAACCCUAUCCAGUAUUAGGAAUACGACAAUUCUGCAUGGAUCUACAUUUAUCACUGUUCUAUCUUUGAGUCUUCAUAAAAACAAUGUACAGUGUAGCUUCAAAAUAUAUUUUAAACGAUCUUGGCUUCUCUCAUGGACUGUAUUAUGUCUUAAAUGCUCAUUUAAAAUGUUUCCAUUUCGACCACUUGAUUUACUGUAUGUUUGGGUUUCUAAUACAAGCAGUUCACAAUGGCACUCACGCUUACAACAAAGGAAUGUGACAGUGGGGAGAUAGAGGCAAGACACAAUCUCCAACAGGUUAUGGACGACAUGGUAAAUGGUGCUGUGGGCAACAAUAAUUGGUUCACUGCAGCUAUUCCUGAGUUCAACAACGGUUAUGACAGCCAUUCAGAAUAUCGCGUACUGGAGAAACUGCAAUCCAAUUUAAAUAAAGAUUCUAAAAUAGAGUGUUUGAUACUCUACACACACAACAGUCCUUGUACUGAUAAAUGCCUGAAAGACAACCAUUUGUUCAACAUUAUCAAACAACUGAAAGAUGUUUUCUCAAAAGUAGAAUCAACAUAUAGUGCAUUAGUCUUCGACCAUAUUUAUAUUGUAGACAUUAACAAAAGUAGAGAGGACGUUUUUAAUUCCCUGAAAAACAUUCCUAUACCAACUUAUUGCUGCUACAAAGUUAUUGCGACAAAUACUGGAUAUUACUGUGCAUUGCUUGACACUAGCAAAGAUGCCACAUUUCAAAUAUGUUUAGAUGAGAUAUCAAAGUAAUGACACCAAUGAUAAACCCCUGAGAAAAAUGAAUAAAGAGCACAAUAGAUUUUUUCUGUUGUUACAAAAACAACAACAUCUAUACAAAUGUUUGGCUGUCAUCACUCAUCACUGAAUUGGGAUGCUAAUGUUAGCAGUACAUGAAUGUUGGUUGUAAUUAUUUAGGCUGUUCUGUAUCCCCCCAUUCUGUCGUUUCAAUGUGCUUUCUGUCUUCUGAAUAUUGAUAAACAUUCUGAAACUGUAUAAUGUAGUGUUUCAUUUCAAACUAUUUCUGCCUGAUGCCAGCAGAAAGUUGUUAGUCUGUUGUUUAUUAUACUGUAUAAAUCUGUUUCCACUCGCUUAUGAUAUCAUUACUGUGAUCUACAACUUUAUGACGUAUGAGUUAUUUGCUGUUAUUAAACCAUUCUCUCUUGGAUGUAA